AAUAAACGCUGGCGGCGUGCCUAACACAUGCAAGUUGAGCGAGAAAGUUCUUUCGGGAAUGAGUAAAGCAGCGAACGGGUGAGUAACACGUGAGAAUUUCCCUUUUAGUGAAGGAUACCUUCGAGAAAUCGAAGUUAAUACUGCAUACGUCCCUUCGGGGAGAAAGACGGCCUCUUUGCUGUCGCUGAAAGAUAAGCUCGCGCACUAUUAGCUAGUUGGUGGGGUAAAGGCCUACCAAGGCGAAGAUGGUUAGCCGGCCUGAGAGGGUGUACGGCCACACUGGGACUGAGAUACGGCCCAGACUCCUACGGGAGGCAGCAGUGGGGGAUCUUGCACAAUGGGCGAAGCCUGAUGCAGCGACGCCGCGUGGAGGAAGAAGGUCUUCGGAUUGUAAACUCCUGUUAAGUGGGAAGAAACUUUGCGAGUAAUAUGCGCAGAGACUGACGGUA
rnacentral:rRNA from 1 species